rnacentral:pre_miRNA from 1 species
UAUGUGGAUUGCGUUGAGCACCAAGGACAGGUAUGUUUGCCUAUGUAUGGAUGGUGUUCAGCACCAGGGAUGGGUGCUUACUU